ACGGGUGAGUAACACGUAUCCAACCUGCCGUCUACUCUUGACAGCCUUCUGAAAGGAAGAUUAAUACAAGAUGGCAUCAUGAGUCCGCAUGUUCACAUGAUUAAAGGUAUUCCGGUAGACGAUGGGGAUGCGUUCCAUAGAUAGUAGGCGGGGUAACGGCCCACCUAGUCUUCGAUGGAUAGGGGUUCUGAGAGGAAGGUCCCCCACAUUGGAACUGAGACACGGUCCAA
rnacentral:rRNA from 1 species